UAAAACUGGCAACACUAGCAUCAAUGUUGAUCUCAAUUUUGCUAUAAAAUAGUUCAGCGAAGCCCAAUUUGCAUCAGAAUAUUUUUGCAGCUUGAAGGAUCACUAUUAGCGAAACCAGUUGAAUCUAACAUGACGGACCCCAAGGGAAAAUCAGACGCCAGGGGCGAGACGAUCCGUUCGGCGAUAAAAAAUGCCGGCAAUCCUAAGAAUGAUGCCACCAGAGCUGCGGUAAUCCGUCAAGCCGUAGCAGAGCAUAAUGCGUCCAAGAAAAAAUAGGAUGUGCCUGAUGUGCUUGAUUUGAAGUGUUCCAAUCAAAAUCACAUCAAAGAAAAUGAACAACCUCGGUUACAUUUUGUAAUAAAAAUUAAUCAGUUUAGAAAAGAA